rnacentral:rRNA from 1 species
CAUUANUGNAGACUGUCNNNNGAGCNNNNGCUGNUUCCUCAAAACAAGGGGGCACGUGCACGCUCUGUUCACACAUCCACUCACACCUGUGCACCCACUGUAGUUCUAUGGUCUGGAGGACUUGCCGUCCUCUUCCCGUGGUUCUGCGUCUUUACACAUACACCGUAGUGAAGUCUUAUGGAAUGUGCGCCGCGUUUAACGCAAUACAAUACAACUUUCAGCAACGGAUCUCUUGGCUCUCGCAUCGAUGAAGAACGCAGCGAAAUGCGAUAAGUAAUGUGAAUUGCAGAAUUCAGUGAAUCAUCGAAUCUUUGAACGCACCUUGCGCCUCUUGGCUAUUCCGAGGGGCAUGCCUGUUUGAGUAUCAUGAACACCUCAACUCUCACGGUUUACCUGUGAUGAGCUUGGAAUUCUGGAGGUUUUGCUGGCCUGUGGUCGGCUCCUCUCAAAUUUAUCAGCUUACCAGUGUUUGGUGGCGUCAUGGGUGUGAUAACUAUCUACGCUUGUGGCCGUCUGCCAGGGUAACCUUCAGCAAUGGAGGUUUGCUGGGGCUCACAAAUGUCUCUCCCCAGCGAAGACAGCUUUUUGAACGUUCGAUCUCAAAUCAGGUAGGACUACCCGCU